UUGUGGUUAAAAAGCUCGUAGUUGGAUCUCGGCGGUCUGAGGGCGGUUCGCUUGAUUGAGUGCUACUGCUCUAUAGGCCGUGGUUUUGCCAGAGGUCUCGGGGUGCUCUUAACCGAGUGUCCUGCGAUGCUGGCAGGUUUACUUUGAAAAAAUUAGAGUGCUCAAAGCAGGCUUUUACGCCUGAAUAUUCGUGCAUGGAAUAAUAGAAUAGGAAGUCGUUUCUAUUUUGUUGGUUUUCGGAAAUCGACUUAAUGAUUAAUAGGGACAGUCGGGGGCAUUUGUAUUCAAACGACAGAGGUGAAAUUCUUGGACCGUUUGAAGACAAACUACUGCGAAAGCAUUUGCCCAGAAUGUUUUCAUUAAUCAAGAACGUAAGUUAGAGGUUCGAAGGCGAUUAGAUACCGCCCUAGUUCUA
rnacentral:rRNA from 1 species